AGGUGACUGCUUAGCUGCCAGUGAGUCUUCUCAACAUCCAGACCAUGCAGGGACAGCUGUGUUCCAUAAAAGCCUGUCUGGGGAGUGCAGCAUGGACUGACAAAGACAUUCAUCAUACAACAAAUACCAAUAGAGAAGAGAGAGAGACAGCUUGAGCAGAAGUGGG